UAUAUAUGUAUAAUAUUUAUAUAUAAAUAUUAAGAAAGUAAAUAAGAGAAAGGAAGAAAAGUACCCCUUUAAACUGUUGCAUCCGUCGUCACCAACGUCUAGAAGUCGAAGCAGAAGUAGAAGAGAAAGAAGAAACAUAGAGAGAGAGAAAAAGAGGCACAGGCAGUGUUAGUCCGUGAUCCUGAAAAACUAAUAUCACAUCAUAGCGUGUUGACAUUUGCUGUGAGACAGUGAAUAUAUAUCCAAAUCCAGAAUGAGUCUAACAAUUCUCACAGUACUGCUGGCAUUAGAAGCUUGCAUGAUGUCGACGGCGGAAGCGAUUAGACCAGCUUCCAGUGACAUCAGCCCUGUAGAUGCUUGUCUUUAUUACUGCAGUGAAUGUUACAAGGAUGAUGGUAAGAAAAUGAUGCAAUGCGCCAACGGUGUUUGUCCACAUGCAUCCACAUCCUCACAUGAUUUCCUGCUACUCCUCCACAACAAUGAUUGCAGUGUUGAUGUCGUGUCUAACCGUCUCUACCGUCGAAACUACUUUCAAUAAGAUGAAAUCAUUUUGAAAGUCUCAAGAAGUGGAAACUGAACAGAAUGACUCAGGAAGUGGUGCCAGGAGGUGACAGAAGCAGGCAGACGAAGCAAUGGAAGAACGAAGCCGUGUACAUAUAAAUAUAUAUAUAUAAAUAUAUAUUAUAUAAAUAUAUAUAUAUAUAUAUAUAUAUAUA